rnacentral:tmRNA from 1 species
GGGGCUGACUUGGAUUUCGACAGAUUUCUUGUCGCACAGAUAGCAUGCCAAGUGCUGCUUGUAAAACAGCAACAAAAAUAACUGUAAACAACGCAGAUUACGCUCCAGCUUACGCUAAAGCUGCGUGAGUUAAUCUCCUUUUGGAGCUGGACUGAUUAGAAUUUCUAGCGUUUUAAUCACUCCAUAACCUUAAGCUAGACGCUCUUAAAAGGUGGUUCGCCUUUUAAACUAAGAAACAAGAACUCUUGAAACUACCUCAAGGUUUUAGAAAGUUGGACCAGAGCUAGUUUUAAGGCUAAAAAGCUAACCAAUUUUCUAAGCAUUGUAGAAGUUUGUGUUUAGGACAAGAUUUUUGGACUGGGGUUCGAUUCCCCACAGCUCCACCA